CCAACACCAACACAAAACCAAAGAAGAAAGACAAGUUACCAGAUUUUUUUUUUUUUUUU
rnacentral:misc_RNA from 1 species